GGCUGCUCUGAAGGUAGUGAGUUAUCUAACUUGAUUGUUCACAGUCAGUUACAGAUUGAACUCCUUGUUCUACUACUUUCCCCCAUCCUCACUACUGCACUUGACUAGUCUUAA
ensembl:misc_RNA Y_RNA Y RNA